AAAGCUGAAAAGUGGAUCUUCAAAAAUGCUAGGUCUACAAUGAGAAAACCUAUAAUUCAAUGUUUAUUAUGUGGAUUCUUGACAUUUGGGAUAGUGGAAGCUCUGUUAUUCAGAUAUUUCCACCACAAUGUGAAAAACGAGCAGAAGACAAUUCGGGAAUCAGCAUCAAUUUGGUCUCUUGAAAAAGAUAUGCCUCAGCAAAUUAACCAUGGCUCAUUGCAAAAUAUCAAUGAUGAACCUGCAUUUGAACAUCUGAAGUCAUAUUGUGAGCCAACUCACUCUCCAGACCUGAGAAUUGUGAUUAUCAAACUGAGCCGCUACAUGGAUUUCAAAUUUUGUUGGUCCACCAAAUGAAGUAAGUUCUUUCCUCACAGGUUUUAGUGUAAAAAUCCUCACAUCUUUGGUUGCUAUUGCUAGAAUAUGGAAAGAUCUUCCCAAGUUUGGAGCAAAUGCAAUAUCAUGAACAGGAUCAGUGACUGUCAUAAGAGUUUCAGCUUUUGCAUAUUUCCUGGUGUUUUCAUUAUAUUCGAAAACCUGAACUUUGGCCAUUGCAUUUGGACUGUUGUCAUCACUCCCUACAGCUCUCCUGGGAGAAUGAGAACGAGAGCUUGAAGGGUUCCAAGAAAUACAACUAUGGCACAGGCUUGGGCCAAGUCCCUGCCUCUAGGAAAACAUCCUUAAAAGUGCGAACUGAUUGCUCAGUGUCCCCCAGAUUAAUGCGGUCUUAUGCCUGUUGCUCUAUAAGUUAUGAUAAUGCCUCUUUCGCAUGGGAAAAAUUACUCCUAUCCUGUAAGGCACUGACAUAGUCACAUAUAGGUCUACAGGAUACAGUUGAGAUGGACAGCUCCACAACACAUCAGGAGUCUAUGGGUCAAUGCUGAUGGAGAUGAGGGUACACUGCCUUCCUUCUCCACAGUGAGAUACAUCACAGGUGUCAAGAGAGGCACUCAGGAGGAGCAGACCUGGUUAAGAGAGCGUCCAUGAGCUGCAGGCUUUCUUCCUAGCAUCCUACACAACUCACCACCUAGUCUCACUUUUAUGGCAUGUGAUGACACCUGAGCCAUAUCCCUGAACUACAAAACACCUGACUUAGAGGCUGUGAGUCUUUGAACACGUGGAGAGAAAAGACUGAUAUUGAGCAUCUCAGAAGGUAGCAAUCUCUUUGGAGUUUGUGCCCUGUUUCACUGAGAGGCCUGUUCUUCAUAUCAGUUUUCCUGAUUGGCAUAGUAAUGGUUUUUGAGUGUCAAAUGCUCAAAGGAGAGAUUCCUGGCUUCAGUGGAGGCAGAUCAGAAAGAAUGUGUAAAUACUCAGUGAGAACAAGAUUCUCAGUAUCUUUGCCUAUUAUUGACUUCUUAACAGUAUCAGACACAAAGACGCACAGAGAUACAAGAUACACACACAGACACACAGAUGCACACACAUACAUCUUUGCUCAGGAAAUCAAACUCAGUUUAUUGGAGAUUAUAUCUACUUGAAUUACUGCUGACUAAUGUAAAUGAUUUUUAAAAAUAGUGAAGACCUCUAGCUAAGGCCUCUCAUAAUUACAGGGUAUAAUUUAAGAUAUGAGAUAUGCACAAUGUAAAUAUCCAAGAAUUCUCUGGGCACACAUUUAAAAUGGUCCCUAUCUGACUCUAUUCUUCCUGGUUACUCUAAUGACUUGGACUUUAAGGCUUUGGAAAUGACUUGAGAAUUGAUUAGCUUGCUUUCUUGAGGCUAAGAUGGCGAGUUUGCAAAUAUAAUAAUAAUUUACAUGGAUAGCAGUGUUUUUAUAACAGAAUUGAAUGUUCAAAUGUAAGUUUCUUUUGUGAAUUGAUUGCAUAAAGUAUUCUCUUUUCCAAAGCAAUGACCUAGAAUUUCACAUUUAUUUCCUUUCUGUGAAUAGUCUGUGAGAGAUAACAGAUAGUGACCAAAUUCCCACCCAUGCUGCAUUGGAAGGGCCUGUGGAUGAGUCUGCAGUUGGCUGUCACUGUGCUUUAUUUUCUUAAAAAGAAAAUAUUUUAUUUAUUUAUUUGAGAGGCAAAGUUACAGACAGAGAGAGAGGUCUUCCAUCCCCUGGUUCACUCCCCAAAUGAGAGCUCAGUCAGAGCUGAGCCAAUAUGAAGCCAGGAGCCAGAAGGUUCCUCCGAAUCUCCCAUGGGGGUGCAGGGGCCCAAGGUCUUAGGCCAUCUUCUACUGUCCUCCCAGGCCAUAGCAGAAAGCUGAAUUGGAAGAGGGGCAGCUGGGACAUGAACUAGUGACCAUAUGAGAUGCCAGUGCCACAGGAGGAGACUUAGCCGCCUGCAUCACAUCACCGGCCCCAUAAACCGUACGGUUCUAACACCAAAAUUUAUUUUUCUUUCUAUACAGUGACUUAUUUCAGUGAGUCAGUCUCAAGUUACAAAAUAUGUAAUUCAAUAGUCUUCAAAAAAUAUACAGAAAUGCAGCUUGAUAACAAUUCAAACACUGUCAAAGAUUCUGUCCCGACACAAGGUGAAUGAAUCCUAUGACUGGUUCUGCAAGUGGUUACCCCCACGUUUAACAGAGGGCAGUUUCUGUUAGUGCACCCAAGGACAGACAUGUCCUUCCCACUAAAGAAUCCUGCAGUAUUGAGGCCUGUUUACGUACUUGGCAGUGCGCAUUCUUCAAGUCUUUUGGCAUAACUGACAAUCUGCACAAGAUCGACAAACACUCAGUCCUCUGGUGAGCCAUAUUUCUGUUUAUGUGUUGCUCUUCCUGUUUGUGUGAUCAUGAGCGCAAAGAAAUUCUACCCAGGCAGGCUCUGCAGGAAGCAGGAAGAGGGGUGCUUCUUUGUAACAGUUCUUUGUGGAACUGCUACAAACACGGUAUCAUGCACGUCUCCCGUGGUUUCAUCCUCACAAUCUGUGAGCUAGAUUGUCCUUAUUUCGUGUAGAAAGAAACCAAGGCUGAGAGAGGUCAGCCAAGGUGCCUGAGGUCACACAGUCAAUAAACAGGACGCCAGAAUGCA
rnacentral:lncRNA from 1 species